GACUUGAAUUUGGCCUUAAGGGACUUCCAGUAAAGAAAAGCUAAUCCAAACAGGGAGAUCUGAAACCUGGACUCCUAUAGAAAGUGAUCUGAUGAAUGACAGUAUCAUAUUUUCAUAAAGUAUGUAACAACAGACAUUGAAAAAAAAUGAAUUGGCAUGUUGAAACUACAGCAUUUUUGAUAUUCCCAAAGAGAAUUUUACAAUGUCUCUUAGAAUCCAUCAAAAAAUCAGAUAAUAAAUGAAUUUCUAAACAAAGUACUUGCUUUGAAAGUUUUAUCGCCACAACCAAAAACUAUUUAGUCAUUGAUUAAAUGUUUUAAAAUUCUUUUUCUCC
rnacentral:lncRNA from 1 species